rnacentral:rRNA from 1 species
GAUGAACGCUGGCGGCGUGCCUAAUACAUGCAAGUCGAGCGAACAGAUGAGGAGCUUGCUCCUCUGACGUUAGCGGCGGACGGGCGAGUAACACGUGGAUAACCUACCUAUAAGACUGGGAUAACUUCGGGAAACCGGAGCUAAUACCGGAUAAUAUAUUGAACCGCAUGGUUCAAUAGUGAAAGACGGUUUUGCUGUCACUUAUAGAUGGAUCCGCGCCGCAUUAGCUAGUUGGUAAGGUAACGGCUUACCAAGGCAACGAUGCGUAGCCGACCUGAGAGGGUGAUCGGCCACACUGGAACUGAGACACGGUCCAGACUCCUACGGGAGGCAGCAGUAGGGAAUCUUCCGCAAUGGGCGAAAGCCUGACGGAGCAACGCCGCGUGAGUGAUGAAGGUCUUCGGAUCGUAAAACUCUGUUAUUAGGGAAGAACAAAUGUGUAAGUAACUAUGCACGUCUUGACGGUACCUAAUCAGAAAGCCACGGCUAACUACGU